CAGACUCAGACUGGCACCAUGUGACCCCAGGACUGAUUUUUCUGCGAGUAGCCCUAAGAAACGAAUACACCCGAUCC
rnacentral:lncRNA from 1 species